AAAGAUUCCGGUUGAUCCUGCCGGACCCCACUGCUAUCGGGAUGGGACUAAGACAUGCUAGUCGUGCGCCUUCCAGCCAUGUGGGAGGCGCGGCGCACAGCUCAGUAACACGUGGCUAACCUGCCCUUGGGACGGGAAUACCCCCGGGAAACUGGGGCUAAUCCCCGAUAGGUGAAGAACUCUGGAAUGAGUCUUCGCCCAAAAGGCGUCGGAUCAUGCUUUUGGCGUCGCCCAAGGAUGGGGCCGCGACCGAUCAGGUUGUUGGUGAGGUAAUGGCUCACCAAACCUAUAACCGGUACGGGCCGUGGGAGCGGGAGCCCGGAGAUGGGAACUGAGACAAGGUCCCAGGCCCUACGGGGCGCAGCAGUUACGAAAACUUGUCAAUGCACGAAAGUGUGAACGGGCUACCCCGAGUGCCGUCCGCUGAGGAUGGCUUUUCUCUGCUUUAAGAAGGCAGAGGAAUAAGGCGAGGGCAAGUCUGGUGUCAGCCGCCGCGGUAAUACCAGCUCGCCGAGUGGUAGGGAUGAUUAUUGGGCCUGAAGCGUCCGUAGCUGGCCUUUCAAGUCUCUUGUUAAAUCCAGCGAUUCAAUCGUUGGACUGCAGGAGAUACUGCAAGGCUAGGAGGCGAGAGAAGCCGACGGUAUUUUCGGGGUAGGGGUAAAAUCCUAUAAUCCCGAGAGGACCACCAGUGGCGAAGGCGGUCGGCUAGCGCGCGCUCAACAGUGAGGGACGAAAGCUGGGGGAGCGAACCGGAUUAGAUACCCGGGUAGUCCCAGCUGUAAACGAUGCUGGCUAGGUGUUGAAGCGGCCACGAGCCGCUUCAGUGCCGCAGGGAAGCCAUUAAGCCAGCCGCCUGGGGAGUACGGCCGCAAGGCUGAAACUUAAAGGAAUUGGCGGGGGAGCACCACAAGGGGUGAAGCCUGCGGUUU
rnacentral:rRNA from 1 species